GUCCACGCCCUAAACGAUGUCGACUAGUUGUUGGGUCUUAAUUGACUUAGUAACGCAGCUAACGCGUGAAGUCGACCGCCUGGGGGAGUACGGUCGCAAGAUUAAAACUCAAAGGAAUUGACGGGGACCCGCACAAGCGGUGGAUGAUGUGGAUUAAUUCGAUGCAACGCGAAAAACCUUACCUACCCUUGACAUGUCAGGAACCCUGAAGAGAUUCGGGGGUGCUCGAAAGAGAACCUGAACACAGGUGCUGCAUGGCUGUCGU
rnacentral:rRNA from 1 species